CCGCCCUGAAGCGCCAGCCGCGCGACGCAAGCCGCAAUCGAAAAGGUAAGCCAGCGCGACAAGCAACUGAAUCAACGGGGUUGUCCAUCUCGUUGACCGUUGCUUGUCAGUCUGGCUUACCUUUUCGAUUGCGGGUGAUGUCGCGUGGCUGGCGCCCCAGGGCGG
rnacentral:pre_miRNA from 1 species